UACGCAGGGGGCUAGCGUUGCUCGGAAUCACUGGGCGUAAAGGGUGCGUAGGCGGAUCUUUAAGUCAGGGGGGAAAUCCUGGAGCUCAACUCCAGAACUGCCUUUGAUACUGAAGAUCUUGAGUUCGGGAGAGGUGAGUGGAACUGCGAGUGUAGAGGUGAAAUUCGUAGAUAUUCGCAAGAACACCGGUGGCGAAGGCGGCAUCCUGGACCAACACUGACGCUGAGUGAGCGAAAGCCAGGGGAGCAAACGGG
rnacentral:rRNA from 1 species